AGGAAAAUAGCUCAGUGGCAGAGCAUCUUCCUUGUACGCAGAAGGUCCCAGAUUCAACCCCUGGCUUCCCCU